CACUUGUCCCUUUCUUAGUAGUAGGCUCUCUCUGUUUGUAAACAUUUAUUAUAAGUAACUAGUGAAGGAAACUAGUAGAAAGCGCACAUUUACACACUUUUCUGCAGUCAUUUGGUUCAAGGAGACAAGGCAGAUGAGUUUCUGUAUUGUUGCUUAAUUUAUUUAUUCAUCUUUACCUGCUUCUAUAUUUGUGUUUAGAAUUUUAAGUUAUAUUCUAAUUUUGUGUCUAUUUUAACUUCAAUCUAGGUUUGUUAAGGACAUCUGAGGAAAAAUAGUUCAUAUUUUCAUGUGUGAGGAGAGGCUAAAGGUCCACAGAAAGCACAAAGCUGUGUUCCCAAGCGUGUGUUUCCACUUGUGAAAAGCACAAAACCUAAUAGCAUUCUUACUAGCCCUCAAGUGCCAGUCAUAAACCCACCCAGUCUUUGUCCAGCGGUGUCAGGAAGACCACAGCACAGAAGGCCUAGGUGGUAAGCCCACUGUCAGAGCCCAC
rnacentral:lncRNA from 1 species